rnacentral:rRNA from 1 species
UACGUAGGGGGCGAGCGUUAUCCGGAUUCAUUGGGCGUAAAGCGCGCGUAGGCGGCCGCCUAAGCGGAACCUCUAACCCCGGGGCUCAACCUCGGGCCGGGUUCCGGACUGGGCGGCUCGAGUGCGGUAGAGGAGAGCGGAAUUCCCGGUGUAGCGGUGGAAUGCGCAGAUAUCGGGAAGAACACCGAUGGCGAAGGCAGCUCUCUGGGCCGUCACUGACGCUGAGGCGCGAAGGCUGGGGGAGCGAACAGG